CUUUUUAAAGGGAUGUUUGCUCGGUCCCCUCCCCAGCUCCAAGGGGGUUGAUGUGUGCGCGCGGAUUUCGUGCAGUUUCUCGGUGAUGAGAAGAAAGGCGAUUCCUCGAAUUUCCUACGCCUUCCCAGCUCCCUUGGGCCUCCCCUCCCCCGCUUCCCGGGGCGCGGGCUCCGCGGGCGGCGCGCUCCCGGGUUGUUUACCCGCCCCGCCGACCGCCCGGGUUUGUUCCUGCUCCCAGAGCCCGUCUCUAUAAUUAAACUCUUUUUUCUAA